CCUACGGGAGGCAGCAGUGGGGGAUAUUGCACAAUGGGGGAAACCCUGAUGCAGCGACGCCGCGUGGGCGAAGAAGUAUUUCGGUAUGUAAAGCCCUAUCAGCAGGGAAGAAGAAAUGACGGUACCUGAGUAAGAAGCACCGGCUAAAUACGUGCCAGCAGCCGCGGAAAUACGUAGGGGGCAAGCGUAAUCCGGAUUUACGGGGUGUAAAGGGAGAGAAGGCGGCACGGCAAGCCUGAUGUGAAAGCCCGCGGCCCAACGGGGGGACUGCAUUGGGUACUACCGGGCUGGAGUGCCGGUGAGGUAGGCGGAAUGCCUAGUGUAGCGGUGAAAUGCGUAGAUAUUA
rnacentral:rRNA from 1 species